CCUACGGGUGGCAGCAGUCGAGAAUCAUUCACAAUGGGGGAAACCCUGAUGGUGCGACGCCGCGUGGGGGAAUGAAGGCCUUCGGAUUGUAAACCCCUGUCAUGUGGGAGCAAAUUAAAAAGAUAGUACCACAAGAGGAAGAGACGGCUAACGCUGUGCCAGCAGCCGCGGUAAUACAGAGGUCUCAAGCGUUGUUCGGAAUCACUGGGCGUAAAGCGUGCGUAGGCUGUUUCGUAAGUCGUGUGUGAAAGGCGCGGGCUCAACCCGCGGACGGCACAUGAUACUGCGGGACUAGAGUGAUGGAGGGGGAAGCGGAAUUCUCGGUGUAGCAGUGAAAUGCGUAGAUAUCGAGAGGAACACUCGUGGCGAAGGCGGGUUCCUGGACAUUAACUGACGCUGAGGCACGAAGGCGAGGGGAGCGAAAGGGAUUAGAUACCCUUGUAGUC
rnacentral:rRNA from 1 species